rnacentral:rRNA from 1 species
GACGAACGCUGGCGGCGUGCCUAAUACAUGCAAGUCGAGCGAGCUUGCCUAGAUGAUUUUAGUGCUUGCACUAAAUGAAACUAGAUACAAGCGAGCGGCGGACGGGUGAGUAACACGUGGGUAACCUGCCCAAGAGACUGGGAUAACACCUGGAAACAGAUGCUAAUACCGGAUAACAACACUAGACGCAUGUCUAGAGUUUGAAAGAUGGUUCUGCUAUCACUCUUGGAUGGACCUGCGGUGCAUUAGCUAGUUGGUAAGGUAACGGCUUACCAAGGCAAUGAUGCAUAGCCGAGUUGAGAGACUGAUCGGCCACAUUGGGACUGAGACACGGCCCAAACUCCUACGGGAGGCAGCAGUAGGGAAUCUUCCACAAUGGACGAAAGUCUGAUGGAGCAACGCCGCGUGAGUGAAGAAGGGUUUCGGCUCGUAAAGCUCUGUUGGUAGUGAAGAAAGAUAGAGGUAGUAACUGGCCUUUAUUUGACGGUAAUUACUUAGAAAGUCACGGCUAACUACGUGCCAGCAGCCGCGGUAAUACGUAGGUGGCAAGCGUUGUCCGGAUUUAUUGGGCGUAAAGCGAGUGCAGGCGGUUCAAUAAGUCUGAUGUGAAAGCCUUCGGCUCAACCGGAGAAUUGCAUCAGAAACUGUUGAACUUGAGUGCAGAAGAGGAGAGUGGAACUCCAUGUGUAGCGGUGGAAUGCGUAGAUAUAUGGAAGAACACCAGUGGCGAAGGCGGCUCUCUGGUCUGCAACUGACGCUGAGGCUCGAAAGCAUGGGUAGCGAACAGGAUUAGAUACCCUGGUAGUCCAUGCCGUAAACGAUGAGUGCUAAGUGUUGGGAGGUUUCCGCCUCUCAGUGCUGCAGCUAACGCAUUAAGCACUCCGCCUGGGGAGUACGACCGCAAGGUUGAAACUCAAAGGAAUUGACGGGGGCCCGCACAAGCGGUGGAGCAUGUGGUUUAAUUCGAAGCAACGCGAAGAACCUUACCAGGUCUUGACAUCCAGUGCAAACCUAAGAGAUUAGGUGUUCCCUUCGGGGACGCUGAGACAGGUGGUGCAUGGCUGUCGUCAGCUCGUGUCGUGAGAUGUUGGGUUAAGUCCCGCAACGAGCGCAACCCUUGUCAUUAGUUGCCAUCAUUAAGUUGGGCACUCUAAUGAGACUGCCGGUGACAAACCGGAGGAAGGUGGGGAUGACGUCAAGUCAUCAUGCCCCUUAUGACCUGGGCUACACACGUGCUACAAUGGACGGUACAACGAGAAGCGAACCUGCGAAGGCAAGCGGAUCUCUUAAAGCCGUUCUCAGUUCGGACUGUAGGCUGCAACUCGCCUACACGAAGCUGGAAUCGCUAGUAAUCGCGGAUCAGCACGCCGCGGUGAAUACGUUCCCGGGCCUUGUACACACCGCCCGUCACACCAUGAGAGUCUGUAACACCCAAAGCCGGUGGGAUAACCUUUAUAGGAGUCAGCCGUCUAAGGUAGGACAGAUGAUUAGGGUGAAGUCGUAACAAGGUAGCCGUAGGAGAACCUGCGGCUGGAUCACCUCCUUUCUAAGGAAGGCGAAAGAUGAUGGAGAGUGCGAGAGCACUAAGAGAAGUCAUCGAGAAAGCCAAGCGGAAGCACACUGAGAAACUUUGUUUAGUUUUGAGGGUAUUACCUCAAGAGCUAGUACAUUGAAAACUGAAUAUAAUCAAAAGCAAAAAAACCGAGACAAUCGAAAAAACAGAUUGAAGAGCGACCGAGAAGAGAGAGAAACUCAACUUGAAAUAGGUCAAGUAGAAAAGGGCGCAUGGUGAAUGCCUUGGCACUAGAAGCCGAUGAAGGACGUGACGAACCACGAAAGGCUUCGGGGAGCAGUAAGUAAGCAAUGAUCCGGAGAUAUCCGAAUGGGGGAACCCAAUACCGCGAGGUAUUAUCAUUAACUGUUAAGGUUAAUGAAGGAAGACGCAGUGAACUGAAACAUCUAAGUAGCUGCAGGAAGAGAAAGAAAAAUCGAUUUCCCAAGUAGCGGCGAGCGAACAGGAAAGAGCCCAAACCAACUGGCUUGCCAGUUGGGGUUGUAGGACUGCGAUAUAGUACUUGAAGUGAUAGCAGAAUUAUCUGGAAAGAUAAGCCAGAGAGGGUGAGAGCCCCGUACGCGAAAUUGCGGAGAGACUUAGCAGGAUCCUGAGUAGGUCGGGACACGAGGAAUCCCGAUUGAAACCGCGAGGACCAUCUCGCAAGGCUAAAUACUAACUAGUGACCGAUAGUGAACC